UACGUAGGGUGCAAGCGUUAAUCGGAAUUACUGGGCGUAAAGCGUGCGCAGGCGGCUUUGUAAGACGGAUGUGAAAGCCCCGGGCUCAACCUGGGAAGUGCAUUCGUGACUGCAAGGCUAGAGUGUGUCAGAGGGAGGUGGAAUUCCGCGUGUAGCAGUGAAAUGCGUAGAGAUGCGGAGGAACACCGAUGGCGAAGGCAGCCUCCUGGGAUAACACUGACGCUCAGGCACGAAAGCGUGGGGAGCAAACAGG
rnacentral:rRNA from 1 species